GCCCAGCGCUGAAUCCGUCGACCUCUGGCCGCUCGGACCUGUAGCGUAUAGGCGCGUUCGUCCGUCGCUAGCGAUCACCCUAAGUUCUCUUGACUGAGACUAUUGUCCAUAGAAGGUGCCAGGCCUGUGAGGGUGACGUCGGCGGCGGUAGGUCGCGCCUUGGAGUCGGAUUGCCUGAGAUCGCAGUCCAAAGAGGGUGGUAAACCUCAUCUAAGGCUAAAUACGGCCACGAGACCGAUAGCAAACAAGUACCGUGAGGGAAAGUUGCAAAGAACUUUGAAGAGAGAGUUCAAGAGGGCGUGAAACCGCUUAGAAGGAAGCGGAUAGAGCCGACGAAACUCGGCGGCAUUCAUCCGGUCGCCAUCGGYGCUURGGGCGGCGYGAUCUUCGGACGCGCCGYUUYRAGAAGGCUAGUGGCGACUGGUGCAUUUGCCGUCGGUAUGCGCCGAGAGCGUCGCCGUCGUUUUCCGACCGGCUGGGUAGUGGCCCUUGGCUUCGGCYUCGGUGUCCUCCCCGACYGUUAGGUUAAUCUUCGGUGACGUUCCCCGUGUCAGACGUUCCGCCAAUGGAACGGCAUGCGUGUYGGGUCGGUGUCGUCGAGGGCGGUCGCGUGCGACCAGUCUUCGGCGGCGCUUAUUCGAUGCGUCUCGCCGCGUCCGGACGUCGUCUCGGUGUGAAAGUCGGCCACCUAUCCGACCCGUCUUGAAACACGGACCAAGGAGUCUAACAUGUGCGCGAGUCAUUGGGUGUCAAACCUAAAGGCGUAAUGAAAGUGAAGACCGGCUCGACUGGUUGAUAUGGGAUCCGUUCGGUUUCGGCCGAGCGGCGCACCAUAGCCCCGUCUCGACUGCUUGCAGUGGGGCGGAGGCAGAGCGUACACGUUGGGACCCGAAAGAUGGUGAACUAUGCCUGAGCAGGACGAAGCCAGAGGAAACUCUGGUGGAGGUCCGAAGCGGUUCUGACGUGCAAAUCGAU
rnacentral:rRNA from 1 species